UCUCUGUGAAGCUGCUCAGGGCGGCAGGGAGGGAGCCCGUGGCACGCUGCCAACCCUCCCCUUGACCCUGAUGAGAACGAAGCUGGCAAGGAACAACCGCUCCCUUUGUCGUGCCUCUUCUGAACCGCCAUUCAGCCAGGGAAACAAUGCUUAAACUGUGCUCGGUUUGCUUUGUAACUUCUUUCCUGCCACGCGAUGCUCGCACCAAAACCCGGGUGCCCGUGCGAGGGGAUGCAGGCGGGUGGGCGAGCCAGGCAGGCCAUUGCACACCACUGUCACGCUUAGAAACUCCGUGACCACACCUGAGGGAAGAGAAAUCAAGAUAACGUGUGCUGAGCUGCUUUGCCGGAGAGAAUUACGUCCAGUGUUUGUCAGUGCGAUUUGUCAUCUGAGGAUCCCCGUGGAUCCAGCGCAGCUCCUGGUGUCUUGGAUGUCAGCCGCAGCAUGGAAAAUCCUCUUUCGUCGGUCGUGUCUGAUUCCAGAUGAAAACUCAUUAAAGGUAACUGCUUCCACCACUGCCUGCUGUCGCCGGGGCACUCACCUGUCAGUCACAUCCUGUUACCGCAGGCAAGGGAUAAUUUGUACCAAAGCGCAGGAUCAAAAGAAAUAGUUUAAAAAUAGCUAAUUUUAUAGCCCUUUGUGUCCGGUGCAGCCUGACCCCCCGUGCCUUGCCGCCCGUCGCUGAUGGCAGCGGUACCCGCCACAUCUCUGCGUGCUGCCUGCUCCGGGAGACAGCCCUGCCCGACGAGGAAUCCCAAAUCCUUUCCCUGCUGCCACCAGGACGUUGCCACAGAUUUCCAUCGAUUUGGAAGUCCAGCGUGCUGACGAGCCAGGUUGCCCAGCCCCGUUCUACUCAUCUUCCACACAUGCCUGGGUACGUCGUUGACCUCCAGUUUAAUCUCGCUGUGCCACCAGCAUCCCGUCUGCAGAAGGGGUGCAGUAACGCCACUUCAACCAUCCUGCUUUAGCCGAAUCUCAAAUCGCUUUGGAAAAAAGACAGAGAAGUUUUCCUGGGAAGUGGGAAAAUAUUUUUAUUUCAGAAACAAGAUCACUAAAGAUGCCGCAGAGAGUCAGCGGUGGUCGGGGUUGGGGCAUUGCUGCUGGCUCCCUUGCUGAAACCGUCAGACAACAUCACUCUGUCCAGGGGAGGAGUCGUGGCCCUGAACCCUGUUCUCACCACUCACCCCCACACUGUCUUGCUCAGUGCCCACCUCUUCUUCCUCCUGUCUUCUUUUGUAUUACACUCGCUCUCUACUUGUCUAAGUUUGUAUGAAUCAUCAUUUCACAUUGAGCCUGAGCUGCCCAUAACCCUGGCUGCUUUGUUUUCUCUGCUGCGUUACAGGGUCAGCUCCAUCCUGACCCACAGCAUGAAAGAAAAUCUGCUUUGGAAACAGCAAAGCCAACAAGUCUUCUUUUGUUACUCCUGUUUCUGGCUGCUGCUGAGCAAAUGUGACACCCUUCCAAAAAUCUGCAUCCCAAAGGAUGCUUGGGAGCCCAAGCGAAGCUCCGAAACACUUCAUUUUGGAAAGGAAAUCUCUCCACCAGCUCUGGAGGAAGUACGUAACGUGAGGGUUGACCGCUGUCAAAUGUCAGUCCCGGCUGAUGGGAGGCUGAAUAAAUGGCUCAGCUGGUGUCACACAUCUGUUGAGGUGGUCGGUAUCCACUGGUGGGAUAACCCAAUUUUUAAGGCUUUGAAACUUAUUUUUCAUUCUGGUUCCUUGACAGAGAAAAGUGGUCUGGCAGAAGUGAGGUGGGCAGCAAGGUGAUAAGGUCCUUCAGCUGCAGCUGUCUCACAAGCCCUCAGGACUGGUCACAGGCUAUCAUCAGCGUCCUCUUUAUUUUGGCUAGGUUUACGGGCCACCCCUCAUUAAGCUUUGAUUUUGACACCUGUAAUAAAUGAGCCACAUUCAGCCUUUUGGAAGCCUAGAGAAGCUCCCAGAGCAGCAGCAGAGAUUAAAUUUGAUCCAGUAUGUUACAAGGAGAAGCUGAAAAGUGUGUUUGUCCCUUAAAAGACAAAAAAAUACCAUUUGGGGAGCCUUUCUGUUUCAUAAGCAAGUGGGCGACAGGGGUCAGAGAGCUCCUGGCACCCGUGGAUUAUUUUGGCCUUCAGCUUGAUGUUGGUUGUUAAAAAUAUUUUCCCAGAUGUAUUAAUACGACCAGACUGGAUUGCAUCUGAGCUGAACAUUGUGAGCCUAAGGCAGGACAUAAAUAUAGAAGCAAAACAGCCUGACAUAGGAGUCAUCUGUCCUCUUCUACACAAGAAGUGAAGGGGAAAGAGGGGGAACUUAUUCUGUUACAAUUUUUAGGUGCUUCCAGGCAUUAGCCCGAGCCUCAGGGAGUGCCUGCGCUGGGGUCCUGGGGCACAGAAGACCCCACAUAUCCCUCACUCGGCCCCUAGCAUGCUGUGCCACAGGACUGCGUGCUCAGCACAUUUUUAACCCGGGGUUAGAUUUGCCUAGACAAGGUUUGCAGUCGGGAAUGACUAUUUGUUUGAUGUGCUUGCCUAACAGGAUUACCCUUAUCAGAAUGAUACAGCAACCUGGCCUUGGCAGAGCAAACCCCAAGGGCUCGAGGGGUCAAACCCUCGCCUCCCUUGCCCCAAAUAUGCACAGCGUAGCUUGUGUCUUACCAUGCAAUAUCCAGCCGGUGCUUCGGUUGGCGUUCAGUGCUCCACUUUUGGAAACAGCAGUUGUGCCAUGUACCGCUGCCUGCUGACAUCACGCCUGGCAUUUCUCUCUCCACACCUGAAAAAAAGAAGAAAUCAAUAAUAUUCAAAGGUUAGAAAACUGAUGCAGUGCUUUACAAUUAGAGAAUGGUAUGCCUUCCCCAUUGGGAAUUGCUCUGAGCAAGUGCCUGAUUGAAUUCAGUGUGAAUUUGUUGCCCUCUGGCUCCCUGAGAAGAGGUAGUGAACCAAUGAGUUGCCUGAUUUUGUAUUGUAUAUUGUGAACAUGCCUAAAAUUGCUAUAAAAGCAUCUGU